UUAGGUUAAGUUAUGAAGGGCGCAUGGUGAAUGCCUUGGUACUAGGAGCCGAUGAAGGACGGGACUAACACCGAUAUGCUUCGGGGAGCGGUAAGUACGCUUUGAUCCGGAGAUUUCCGAAUGGGGAAACCCAAUCAGCUUAGUCGCUGAUUACUUGACUAGUGAAUACAUAGCUAGCAAGAGGUAGACGCAGUGAACUGAAACAUCUUAGUAGCUGCAGGAAGAGAAAGAAACAUCGAUUCCCUGAGUAGCGGCGAGCGAAAAGGGAAGAGCCCAAACUAACAAGCUUGCUUGUUGGGGUUGUAGGACUGAACAUUAGAGUUACCAAAGUGCGACGUAGUCGCAACAGUUGGGAAGCUGUGCCAUAGAGGGUGAAAGCCCCGUAGACGAAACGUCACACUCUCUGUUCAGGAUCCUGAGUACGGCGGGACACGUGAAACCCCGUCGGAACCCGCGAGGGCCAUCUCGCAAGGCUAAAUACUCCCUAGUGACCGAUAGUGAACCAGUACCGUGAGGGAAAGGUGAAAAGCACCCCGGAAGGGGAGUGAAAUAGUUCCUGAAACCAUGUGCCUACAAGCUGUCGGAGCCCGUUAAUGGGUGACGGCGUGCCUCUUGCAGAAUGAACCGGCGAGUUACGAUUGCAUGCAAGGUUAAGGUGGAAAAACCGGAGCCGUAGCGAAAGCGAGUCUUAAGUGGGCGUAAGAAGUAUGUAGUUGUAGACCCGAAACCAGGUGACCUACCCAUGUCCAGGUUGAAGGUGCGGUAAAGCGCACUGGAGGACCGAACCCGUGUCAGUUGAAAAUGGCUGGGAUGAGGUGUGGGUAGCGGUGAAAUUCCAAACGAACUUGGAGAUAGCUGGUUCUCUCCGAAAUCUCUUUAGGGGGAGCCUUGAGGUAAAGAAUCGUGGAGGUAGAGCUACUGUUUGGACAAGGGGCCCGUCAUGGGUUACCAACUUCAGAUAAACUCCGAAUGCCAUCGAUUUAUACUCAGGAGUCAGACGAUGAGUGAUAAGAUCCACCGUCGAAAGGGGAACAGCCCAGAUCACCAGUUAAGGUCCCUAAAUAUAUGCUAAGUGGAAAAGGAUGUGGAGUUGCAUAGACAACUAGGAUGUUGGCUUAGAAGCAGCCACCAUUUAAAGAGUGCGUAAUAGCUCACUAGUCGAGUGAUUCUGCGCCGAAAAUGUAC
rnacentral:rRNA from 2 species